rnacentral:rRNA from 1 species
GUCCUGGCUGUAAACGGUGCACGUUUGCUGUAAAAGGAAUCGACCCCUUUUGUGGCGAAGCUAACGCGAUAAACGUGCCGCCUGGGAAGUACGGUCGCAAGAUUAAAACUCAAAGAAAUUGACGGGGGCCUGCACAAGCGGUGGAGUAUGUGGCUUAAUUCGAUGCAACGCGAAGAACCUUACCUGGCCUUGACAUGCAAGUGGUAGAACCAUGAAAGUGGGACGACCCCGCAAGGGGAGCUUGCACAGGUGCUGCAUGGCUGUCGU